GGAUCAAUUCCCAUUGGGUUUCUUACAGCCUAGGGCACAAAAAGAGGUCUAUAUAUAAACCCUUCUUCCAUAAAAAAGGGCAGAAGAUGAUACCCUAAACACACAGAAAAUUCCCAGCAAUAUUGUGAUCUAAAUAGCCCUGGUUCUACCCUUUUAUUUUCAUGUAUUAGAUCUUGAAAAACUCCAAAUUCUGGUUCAGAAAUGAGUUUAAUUUUGAGUUUUGAAAGUUGGUUUUUGGGUUGCUAAAGGAUUUCUACUGUUCCAUUGAACAUCUUUUGAGAUUUUGAAGGUUUGAAUUUCUGAAAUUACUAACUGAUUCUAAAAUCUAAGAUGAGCUGAGUUUUGGGUGUUUAAAGUUUGGUAUUAGAGUUAGCUGGGUUUAUUGUUAGAUUUGUUGGUUUUGAAUUGUUUCAAAUCAUUCAUUUGGGUUCUGCUGGUAUUGCUCCUGCUAUUUUGUUGUUGAUGACUCAUCUUGAGUUGUUAACUCUAAUUCUGAUUUUUGCUUUGUUAUAUUCAGGUACACACUCUGAUAACUAUGUAAAGGUUGAUUCAUAUAAUGAGAAGAGAUGAGGAUCUACUUGUUUGUUGGAUGUGUUAAUUGUCUCUUUUUUUUUCUUUAUUCGAAUAAUUAAUAAUUCUGCUUUUAAUGUUUAUACCCAUGUAAUGUUGUGAAUAUCUGAGACUCGUUUCCAUACUUGUAAUAAUUGGACUGUAGCUGUUUGGGAUACUAAGUGUAGAUGUAAGUGGAUUUAUUUUGCUCUUCUUUGGAAAUGUGUUUAGUUUGUAUCAAGUAAAGCAUAAAUGAGUCUUUUUUCGCCUAGUCAUUAGAUACAUAGUUCUGAGUGUUUAAUGCAUUGAGUGUCAAAUGUUAGGAAAGGUUGCACGAUUAAUACAUAUGGUGUAUGGAUACUGUUUAAUUUGAAGGUUUUGGCUAUAGUUUGAUUAGAAUCGUGAGCUUAGUAAUGGUAUUGAUUGUCAGCUGCCAUUUUCCUUUUAAGUGUAGUAAUUCCGCGACGAAUUUCAAUUUGGAAAGUAAAAUUUCACGUAUUAGCUUAGAAUUUUAUUGUAGAAUCAGUUAAUUGAAGUAUUAUUUACAUUAUGAAAUAGAAUUGAAUAUAUUUGGGCUAUUUAGAUUCGGAUACUCGUGGCAAAGGCGUGGUUUCGGGUUGAUUUGAGCUUGUUCGAGGUAAGUGACUUGUCUAACCUUAUGUAGGGGACCUUCUCUUUAGGAUUGAUGUAUUUGGUAAUUGAACUGCCUUGUACCUGAGGUGACGAGCGCGUACUUGUGCAAAUUAUUGAAAAUCUGGUUUUUUAAAAUACCUAUUAGUAUGUUUCUUCUCCUAUUUUAUUUACUUGUGUUGUUAAGCCUGCUGAUAGUUUAGGAAAGCAUGUCUAAGUGAUUUAAUGGCCUUAUCUGCUCAAUCUGUUUACUUGAACUCUGUGCCGUGUGCUAGGCUAGAAUUAACUGUUGCCUUAAUAUGAAGUUUCCCUUUUAUGAAUAUCUUCUUGCUGAUGUUGUGUAUUUACAUUGGGACUACGGAUUUGGAAUUCCGGUAGCUUCCCCUUGUUUGUUUACUUUGGGACUACGAGUUAGAUUCCCGGUAGAUCCUCUUGCACAUUUACUUUGGGACUGCGAGUUAGAUUUCUGAUAGAUCCCCCUGUACAGUUAUAUGAAACUACGAGAAUGCACCCGGUAGAUUCUCUCAGUACUGGGUAUUUACAUUUGGGAUUACGGAUCGGGAUUCCGGUAGAUCCCCGCGCAUUGAUAGUUGGACUACGGGACGGGAUCCCGAGAGAUCCUUCGGACAUAUAUAUAUGAUGGACUACGGGAUGGUAUCCCGAGAGAUCUACUGGACAGUUGUAAUUGGGACUUCAGGAUGGUAACCUGGAAGAUCCUUGGUUGGUAUUAUUGGAACAGAGCUGUAUUUUCCUUCGGUGUUUACAUUGUCCUUACGUGUACUGUGUAGUUGUUGUUGUUCUAUAUAUAUUGUGUUACUUUUAUUGUCAUUAUAUCUUUUAUUUAAUCUCGGUAGGGCCUUUACCUUCCUCCUCACUACCCUUCCGGGGUUAGACUUGGCACUUACUGACUACCGUUGUGAUGUACUCACGCUUCUUCGGCGCAUGUUUUUCAUAUGCAGAUCCAGAUACUUCUUCUCAUGCUUACCAUCCUUGAGGGAGGCGACUACUUAGAGACUUCGAGGUACAUUUACCGCGUCCGCAGACCGAGGAGUCCCUUUCUUUUCCUGCUUUCUAGUAUUUAGCCGUUAUGUACUUUCUUUUCUUAUUAGACAAAAUUAUGGAGUUAGAAUUAUGUAGUAUUCUCUUUUUCGUAGCUUGUGAUUCGUAGGUUUUCGGGUCUUGGAUUUGGAUAUUAUCUUUGAGUUUUAUAUAUGGUGUAUGCCGA
rnacentral:lncRNA from 1 species